rnacentral:tRNA from 1 species
UGGAAUGUAGCUCAGUGGUAGAGCAGCGGCCUUAUGGCUGUGUGCCACAGGUUCGAUUCCUGUCUUUCCGA